rnacentral:lncRNA from 1 species
AGGUUGGGGCAUUCGAGUCGGCCACUUUUCCUUGCUUGUUGCUUCCCUUAUCGGACACGUCGUUCAAUACAUGCUCAUAUUUGCAUCUAUAAAUAAUUUAAGCUAAUCAUCUAGACUAUUUUAUAGAUUUCAACUUGUUGAAUCCUGUUUUGUGCGUUGCGCGCCUGGAAGGAUCGCCGUGCUCUCAUAGCUUAUGACCUCCCCAUCCUUACAGGGCUACGGUGUCUACCGUUACGCCGACAAGUACGGCGCCAACGUGGAUGGCUACUCGCCAAUCUACACCCCGGACCUGUGGACUGAGUCGGGUGACUCCUACAAGCUGGGCACCAAGGGCCUCAUUGCCUGGUGCGCCGGGGAUUGUAUGACUCAGACUUGUUGAAAUGUAGGGGAAAGGGCUGCAAGUUCAACAGUAUUUGAGGGUUUAUGGAGGGUUGUUGAGCUUUUCCGCAGCAUUUAUUUGAAACGUUGCAUGUCUUGCUGCAAUGCAGGGCUGGCCUCGUCCUGGUUCUGCUGGCCGUCGGCGUGAACCUGAUCAUCUCGACCUCGCAGCUGGGCGCGUAAAGACUCUGACAUGAGCCUUUUGUGUAUUAGCGUGAUGAGAUGUCCCUGUCUAGAGAAGAGAAGGAUGUGUUUCCCUCUGGAAGGUUUUGCCCCGACGUUGGGCGGAAAGGAUGAGGUGGUGAUGGUGUAGAUGGCGGUGUACCAUAACCUAUGCCGGGUCCCUUUCGGGACACGACAGCAACAAUUGCUGUGAAAUUUGCGCGUUUUGUUUACAGUUUGAAUGUAAACACUAUCGAUCUUUUGUCGUGCUUGUGGCUCUAUAUAGCCCCCACAUCCACAUGCAUUACCGUACUGCUCGUUAGAUAUUCAGCCACUGAUUCUAGAAGAUUGGCGAAUGUGCCGCAACUAGCUAGCAACAUACGUCCACUUUAACCCAUAUACAAGCAAUCUGCAAAGAUGGCUGUAAGUGCCGCAACAAGGGCAUAGCCGACGAACACCCAUCAGCAUAGUCAAAACUGCAUAAGCCUGAACAUCAAAAGCAUGUCUUGCUGGAUCAUCCGGUUUUCGGCGAAAUAAGAUUUGAUAUGGGUUUCCCACUCUUGAGCAUAUGAAAGGACGCCAUGAAGUGGGGAUCUAAACAUCUGGCGAAGAUGCUGCAACGUAUGUGGUCCCACCACAACUCUAUCGUCCCCUUUGGUCGUUAGCCUCCUUCAUUGUCUAAGUGCGAGGUAGGACGGUGCUUACAGGCGAUAUGAGCCCGAGGCUCGAACUGGGCGGAUUGCAGGUACGGGGUACGCACCCCCGCGACCAUGUAACACACACACACACACACAUUAAAUUCAGAUACAUCCAUUUCUUACUAAUAUCAUCUUUCCCUUCUGAAUCUGCUCUUUAAAACUGCCGUAAUUCGCCUGCUCCAAUGAUAUUAUCGUUUCUGGAUCCAGCGGUGCCAUGCCAAGGGACACGUUACCUACAUCUGGCCCGUAGGAUCUUCCGGAUAGCACCUGGGCCCCCGACCCUUUGCCCCAUACCACAGCACAGACCUAAUCUGGACAAUAAAGCAC